rnacentral:tRNA from 1 species
CGGGAUGUAGCCCAGUUGGUCCAAGGCGCGGCAUUUGGGAUGCCGAGACCGGGCGUUCGAAUCGCCCUAUCCCGACCA